rnacentral:tRNA from 1 species
AGGCAGUAUAGUUAAAGUAGUUAUAAUAUUAGUUUUGUAAACUAAAGAAGAUACAUAGUGUAUAGGUCUGCUG